GAGGAAACCACAGCUCCCAUCAUCCCCCACGUAAGGACACCCCCGCGGAAGGGGGUGUCCCUGCUGCUCCUGUGCCCGCGGCUGACAGGCAGGGAACCAGGACGGAGACGGACCCUGGCCGCGUCCAGGGUUCAGGACUUCCAUCGAAUUGAGUCUUAUUACAGCUCAAGAUACAACCCCUAAAAAUCAUGGAUGAUAUUUGGAAAAGAUGAAAACUCUAACUCGAAAAGAUACAUGCACCCCAACGUUCAUAGCAACACUAUUUGCAAUAGCCAAGACAUGGAAGCAACCUAAAUGUCCAUCAACAGAUGAAUGGGUAAAGAAGAUGUGGUGUAUAAGAGACAUUGGAAUACUUCUCAGUCAUAAAAAAGAAUGAAAUAAUGCCAUUUGCAGCAACAUGGAUGGACCUCGAGAUUAUCAUUCUAAGUGAAGUAUCUUAUUUCCCAGACCAAGGAUCGAACCCAGGCCCCCACAGUGAAAGCAGCAAGUCCUAACCACUGGACCACCAGGGAAUUUCUUUGUUUUAUUUAUUUUAAAUAAACUUUUUAAAAUAUAAAUUUAUUUAUUUUUGGCUGUGUUGGAUCUUCGUUGCUGUGUGUGGGCUUUCUCUAGUUGCGACGAGCGGGGGCUACUUUUUGUUGCAGUGUGCAGGCUUCUCAUUGCGGUGGCUUCUCUUGUUGUGGAGCACGGUCUCUAGGCAUGCGAGCUUCAGUAGUUGUGGCGCGUGGGCUCAGUAGUUGUGGCACACGGACUUAGUUGCUCCGCGGCAUAUGGGAUAUUCCCGGACCAGGGCUCCAACCGGUGUCCCCUGCAUCGGCAGGUGGAUUCUUAACCACUGCACCACCAGGGAAGCCCUUAAAUAAACUUUUAACUUUAGAACAGUUUUAGAUUUAUAGAAAAAUUGCAGAGGUAUUACAGAGAGUCCCAUAUGCCCCACACCCAAGUUCCCAUAUUAACAUCUUUUUAUGUAUUAUUUAUUUAUUCAUUUAUUUAUUUUUGGCUGUGUUGGGUCUUCGUUGCUGCACUGGGCCUUUUCUCUAGUUGCGGCGAGCAGGGGCUACUCUUCGUUGCGGUGCUCGGGCUUCUCACUGCUGUGGCUUCUCUUGUUGAGGAGCACAGGCUCUAGGCACGUGGGCUCAGUAGUUGUGGCACACGGGCUUAGUUGCUCCACAGCAUGUGGGAUCUUCCUGGACCAGGGCUUGAACCCAUGUCCCCACAUUGGCAGGAAGAUUCUUAACCAGUGCACCACCAGGGAAGUCCUCCCACAUUAACAUCUUACCUGAGAAUGGUACAUAUGUUACAAUUAAGGAACCAGUUGAGCCACUGUUAUUAACUAACAUCCAUAUCUUAUUCAUAUUUCCCUAGUUUUUACCUAACGUCCUUUUCCCAUGCCAGGAUCCCAUCCAGAACACCACAUUGCUUUUAUUUAUCAUGCCUCUGUAGGCUCCUCUUGGCUGUGCAGUACAUUUAAAAAUAACAGCUCAAUCCACAUCACCACAGGAGGUGCAGAAGCAAAUCAAAACAACUGCCAAGUUCUCAUAAUACUCACAAAGGAGGCGGUCAUUUGUUUACCGGUUCAUUAGUGUGAACAGUAUCCAAUUUCCUUCAUGAGCUUUCAAAUUGUGAAUCCCAAAAUUUUGUUUUAAUUGGAGGGGAUUGGCUUUAUUUUGCUCUUUGUGUAUUAAAUGGAUUUUAUAUCACAUGCUUUCAAAUUACUCAACAUCUCAUAAAAUGCAUCCAAUAACACCACACAGAUAUAAGGCAGUUCCCUUACUGAGCAGAAGACAGAUUCCAUAUUGUGGGGCCCACCUCAGGAGACUGUGCUUUUGAACGCCUAGGACGGGGUCAGAGCUAUCUGUAUUUUAAUUCCAAGGUGGUUAAGUCUCCACGUUCCCAACGUAGGGGGCUCGGGUUCAAUCCCUAGUUAGGGAGCUAAGAUCGCACAUGCCUCAUGGACAAAAAAAAAAAGAAAAAGAAAAAGAAAAAAAAAGUCACCUUAAUCCUAAGGAACAUCCU